rnacentral:rRNA from 1 species
CCUACGUGAGGCUGCAGUGGGGAAUAUUGCACAAUGGGGGAAACCCUGAUGCAGCGACGCCGCGUGAGUGAAGAAGUAAUUCGUUAUGUAAAGCUCUAUCAGCAGGGAAGAAAAUGACGGUACCUGAGUAAGAAGCCCCGGCUAACUACGUGCCAGCAGCCGCGGUAAUACGGAGGGGGCAAGCGUUAUCCGGAUUUACUGGGUGUAAAGGGAGCGUAGUCGGCAGUGCAAGUCUGGAGUGAAAGGGGGGGGCUCAACCCCCGGACUGCUCUGGAAACUGUACGGCUGGAGUGCAGGAGAGGUAGGUGGAAUUCCUGGUGUAGCGGUGAAAUGCGUAGAUAUUAGGAAGAACACCAGUGGCGAAGGCAGCUUACUGGACUGUAACUGACGUUGAGGCUCGAAAGCGUGGGGAGCAAACAGGAUUAGAUACCCUAGUAGUC